GGUGGAGAAACAUCGAUGUUUUAAAGAACACAACACAUCGAUGUUUUUCCACCUC
rnacentral:pre_miRNA from 1 species